rnacentral:lncRNA from 10 species
UUCAUUGUUUCUGAGCUUGACUAAGAAGGCAACUGGCAGAAGAGGGGAAAAUCUAAAACAUAGGUUAUUUCCAACUCUCCACCUAAUUCACAUCUGCACUUGUGCAAUUAAUCAAGGUUAGAAAUAGACAAAACCAUGUAGAGCGAUUCAACUUCAAAUUCAUCGCUAGGAUCCUUGGGUGGAUUCCUUGGCAACUCACCUGAAGGUCAUUUUCAUGGCUCUUAAACUGUAGUUUUCCGGUGCUUCCCUGCUCCGGUUCUCCUACAGUACUAUUUUAUUAAUACAUCUAUUCUUCUAUUCACAUCUCCAACACCUUCUCUCUUAUUUUCACUUUCAGCUUUUGCACUUGCUUCCUACAUCGCUGAGCAAAUUGAAGCAAUCAAAUGAGAGCUUCCAGAAACUCCACUGCAUCUAUUAGUCUACUCAAUCUGUGUUCUUAUGAUCUUUAUCCACUGGAAGGUACAAUCUUAAGGUUAAAACCUACAUUCCUAAAUAAACUCAUCUGUUUUUCUCCACUCAAAGGCCUGGCCAGAACUUCCAAAACUAUGUUGAAAAAGAGCCAAUAUAGCCAAGAUGAUCCUAAGCAAAAAGAACAAAGCUGGAGGCAUUAUGCUGUCUGACUUCAAAUUAUACUACAAGGUAUAGUAACCAAAACAGCAUGGUACUGGUACAAAACAGACACAGAGACCAAUGGAACAGAAUAGACAUCUGAGAAAUAAGAACACAUAUCUACAACCAUCUGAUCUUUGACAAACCUUACAAAAAUAAGCAACGGGAAAAGGAUUCCUUAACUAAUAUAUGGUGCUGUGAAAACUGGCUAGCCAUAUACAGAAAAUUGAAACUCAAACCCUUCCUUUCAUCUUACACAAAAAUUAACUCAAGAUGGAUUAAAAGCUGAAAUGUAAAACCCAAAACUAUAAAAACCCUAGAAGAAAAUCUAGGCAAUACCAUUUGGAACAUAGGCACGGGCAAAAAUAUCAUGACAAAAACAUCAAAAGCAAUUACAACAAAAGCAAAAAUUGACAAAUGGGAUCUAAUUAAACUAGAGAGCUUCUUCACAGCAAAAGAAACUAUCAUCAGAGUAAACAGACAACCUACAGAAUGGGAGAAAAUUUUUGCAAUCUACCCAUCUGACAAAGGUCUAAUACCCAAAAUCUACAAAGAACUUAAACAAAUAUACAAGAAAAAAAUCAAACAACCCCAUUAAAAAGCAGGCAAAGGACAUGAACACAUACUUCUCAGAAGAAGACAUUUAUGAGGCCAACAAACAUAUGAACAAAAGUUCAACAUCACUAAUUAUUAGAGAAAUGCAAAUCAAAACCAAAAUGAGAUAGCAUCUCAUGCCAGUCACAAUGAUGGUUAUUAAAAAGUCAAGAAACAACAGUUGCUGGCGAGGCUGUGGAGAAAUAGGAAUGCUUUUACACUAUCGGUGGGAAUGUAAAUUAGUUCUACCACUGUGGAAGACAGUGUGGCAAUUCCUCAAAGACCUAGAAACAGAAAUACCAUUUUACCCAUGAAUCCCAUUACUAGGUAUAUACCCAAAGGAGUAUAAAUCAUUCUGUUAUAAAGAUACAUGCACACAUAUGUUCUUUGCAGCACUAUUCACAAUAGCAAAGACAUAGAACCAACACAAAUACCCAUCUGUAAUAGCCUGGAUAAAGAAAAUGUGGUAGGGAUAUAUAUAUCAUGGAAUACUAUGCAGCCAUAAAAAGGAAUGAGAUCAUGUCCUUUUCAGGGACAUGGAUGGUGCUGGAAGCCAUUGUCCUCAGCAAACUAACACAGGAACAGAAAACCAAACAUUGCAUGUUCUCACUUAUGAGUGGGAGUUCAACAAUGAGAACACAUGAACACACAGAGGCGAACAACACACAUUGGGGCCUCUUGGCGGGAGUUGGGGGAGAGAGAGCACCAGGAUAAAUAGCUAAUGCAUGUGAGCCUUAGUAGCUAGAUGAUGGGCUGAUGGGGCAGCAAACUACCAUGGCACACGUAUACUUAUGUAAAAACCCUGCACAUCCUGUACAUGUAUCCCAGAACUUAAAAAAGAAUAAAAUUUUAAAAAGGCCAG